UACGUAGGAGGCGAGCGUUGUCCGGAAUUACUGGGCGUAAAGAGCGCGUAGGUGGCGCGAUACGACCGGUGUGAAAUCCUCCGGCUCAACUGGAGGGGGUCACUGGUAACGGUCGUGCUGAUAAGUGCAGGAGAGGGACGUGGAACUCCGGGAGUAGCGGUGAAAUGCGUAGAGACCCGGAGGAACACCAGUGGCGAAGGCGGCGUCCUGGCCUGCGACUGACGCUGUGGCGCGAAAGCUAGGGGAGCGAACGGG
rnacentral:rRNA from 1 species